GUUGAUACUUGAGGGACCCAAGGUGAGAGGACAGGUCUGUAAGCUGGCACUUUCUGUCCAGAGCACAGGUUGUCUUGGCAGUUUUGCCACAGAAGCCUUCAACUCCUUAGGCACUUUCUUGGCCUAUAAGUUAGUAUUUUUAACUAGUUCCUGGAGAUGUUAUUAGUACCAUUUUAUACAUUUCAAAUAUCAUAUAUACAUGUAUAGUUAUAUAGAUAUGUCUAUGUAUCUACAUACACAAAUUAAGAAACUCAAUAAAGCAAUAAACAUUCACUUUGAGUUACUCACCAAAAUUAUCAUGUAGAGUUUUCCUAACAUCUUGGAUUCUACUUUUGCCUUUCUGUCUCUGACUAUUCCUAGCCAAGGAACCACUUUCUAGAAAUGAACAAUGCUCAUCUACUCACCAUAUGUUUUCAUUCAUUAACAUCCACAUCAUUUGCUUUUGUUGGUCCUGUUUUCCACGUCUUCCAAUCCUCUUCCUUUCCUUAAUGCAUCCCUAGAAGCUUCCUGUCUACUAUCCUCUCAUGUGUGUCCUGUCUACCCGCAUCAGUCUCCACCCUUUGAAAUCCUCUUGGUCCUCUCUCAUUUUCUCCUAUGUGGUUUCACAGCCUUUACCCACUUUCAUACUCCUUAUUCACACACACACACACACACACACACACACACACACACGCACACACAAACAUAUAGAGACAAACACAUUUGCACACAGGAAUCUCAUAAAACCACAAAAUCAGAAGUAUAUAUAUAUAAUAUUAAGGUGAAAAAUAAAAAUAAUAAAAACAUAUUAGACGCCCUGAUCAACACUAAAACAAAACAAAAUAAAGAUGUUGUUGAGUUCCUUGUGUGUUGUUUGUUCCUGAUUGAGACUCCCUUGAAAAAAUUAACUUUCUUUUUGUAAUACUAUCUGUCUUAGUUAGGGUUUUAAUGCUGUGAACAGACACCAUGACCAAGGCAACUCAUAAAAAACAACAUUUAAUUGGGGCUGCCUUACAGGUUCAGAGGUUCAGUCCAUUAUCAUCAAGGCAUGGCAGUAUCCAGGAAGGCAUGGUGCAGGCAGAGCUGACAGUUCUACAUCUUCAUCCAAAGGCUGCUAGUGGAAGACUGACUUCCAGGCAACUAGGGUGAGGAUCUUAUGCUCACACCCACAGUGACAACAUACCUACUCCAACCGGGUCACACCUAUUCCAAGGCCACCUUCAAAUGGUGCCACUCCCUGGUCCAAGAACAUACAAACCAUCACACUAUCAAUUCAACAUAGUUCCUGUGUUAUGGAAGAAGGCAUGCCCAGGUCUCCUUUCAGCGUUAAGAUACCAUCUAGUGCAGACCCAUGUAAGCCCUGUGCAUACUGCCUCAGUCUCUAUGUGUUCAUACGUGUAUCACUGUUGUUUCAGAAGUUGCUAUUUCUUUGGUGUUCCCUGUUUCCAUUGGCUUUCGCACUCUUUCAUCUCCUCUUUGCCAGAGUUCACUUAGCCCUGAGGAGAGGAAUUUGAAUGAAAUAUCCCAUUUAGACCUGAGUGUUCCAAGGUCUCUCACUCUCUACACAUCGUCAAGCUGUGGGUCUCUAUUUUUGUUCCCCUCUGCUGCAGAAUGAAGGUUCUCUCAUAAUGGCUGAGCAAAACUUAAACUUAUGAGUAUAGCACAGUUUCGCUAGGGUCAUUUUGUUGCUACAUUCUCUAAGCAGAGCAGCAGUAUUUGGUUUUCCCAUAGGGUGCUGUCUAGAGUCAGGUUCUUGGCCACAAAAGGAAUGUCAGGUAUGGGCACCAACUCUUGGCUAGGGUCUUACUUCACAUAAGAUGUUGGUUGGUGACUCUUACAAGCUUUGUGCCACUAUUGUACAGUGUAUCUUACAGGCAGGGCACCACUGUAGAUCAAGGGGUUUAAAUUAGGGUUUGUGUUUACAUUUCUCUUUUGGUAGCUUGCGUGUACUUUCCAAUACCAUCAACACUAGUCCACAGGGAUGGAGGUUUUGUUAAAUAUCAGCUCGACUCCUUUAUGUUCAAUAAGUUGUGUAGGUAGGUGUUCAGCAAUAGGGAUUGCCAACAGUUUGCAGUGAAGCACCAAUAAACUUUGAAAUAGUCUGUGUUUCAGAAAACAAAACAAAACAAAACAAAAAGCAAUGUCUUUCUAGUAUGAUAUAUUAGGUUUAUACUAAUGUAAUUACGGUAGAAUUCACACCAAUACAUUGAUAGAAUUCACUGUCUCACAGGCUAUAUUAUUCAGUCAGUCUUAUCAGAGGAGUGGUUUCAACAGUUGGCAGAAAUUCUUUACUUCUCAUUCACUUGAUCAACCAUAGCCAGCCAUUUAUAGUAGAGGCUGGAAGAGAAUAUAUCUCAUUGGAUAUUUCUAAGGAAAUCCUAACAAUGAUUAAAAAUAAAUAUUAUUCCAUGGAAAAUAUAUUGUAGAUUUAUUGAGAAAAAAUUCAAUGGAAGAAUUCAGAUUAGAGCCCAAUCUUCUCACAACUACCCAGCAUGUACCCCAAGAUAUAACCUUUAUCUGAACACUCCUGAGUGGCAUAGUCAAAUGAAGGGCUUGGAUUAACUUCACUGAAGUU
rnacentral:lncRNA from 1 species